UACAGAGGGGGCCAGCGUUAUUCGGAAUUAUUGGGCGUAAAGGGCGCGUAGGCGGCCACGCGUGUCUUCCGUGAAAUCCCUGGGCUCAACCCAGGAACUGCGUCCGAUACUGGUUGGCUUGAAUCCGGGAGAGGGAUGUGGAAUUCCAGGUGUAGCGGUGAAAUGCGUAGAUAUCUGGAGGAACACCGGUGGCGAAGGCGACAUCCUGGACCGGUAUUGACGCUGAGGCGCGAAAGCCAGGGGAGCAAACGGG
rnacentral:rRNA from 1 species